UACGUAGGGUGCGAGCGUUAAUCGGAAUUACUGGGCGUAAAGCGUGCGCAGGCGGCGCGUUAAGACAGGUGUGAAAGCCCCGAGCUUAACUUGGGAAUUGCGCUUGUGACUGGCGUGCUGGAGUGUGGCAGUGGGAGGUGGAAUUCCACGUGUAGCAGUGAAAUGCGUAGAGAUGUGGAGGAACACCGAUGGCGAAGGCAGCCUCCUGGGCCAGCACUGACGCUCAUGCACGAAAGCGUGGGGAGCAAACAGG
rnacentral:rRNA from 1 species